rnacentral:lncRNA from 1 species
UUUAAGUGUGUGUUCUGGUCGUGAAUCGCAGGAGAGCCAGGGGGUUCCAUGCCCAAACCCUAGCCAGCAAAAAUCAAGCAAUUGAGAAGCCAAAUCGACUCCAAAUUGAAAUCUAAGCUUGGAUUAGUGAUCACUUCAGUGAAAGGAUCAUAAGUUUGUCGCCUAACGAGCUAGGUGGAGGCUUGGGAUAGAAGCGGUCAAACGAAUCAAGCACGAGAAGAAAAGCAUAUUCGGAUGCGAGGUACACUUUGGGAUGCCGGAAGACGAUCAAGCUCAACGAAGAACCGAACACACUAUAGAUACACGCUUCCGCACUUUGCUAUGUUGUAAAUUUUAAACAACGAAUUCAACCACGUGAUGUAGAAUAACUUAUGAUUUGUAAAAGUUUUUAGUAAACCCGUAUUUCCGAUGUAUAUGUAAUUGUAAUUACAUGAUUGUUUUCGAAAAAGAUUCAUUAAACCUUAAAUUAACUUAACGGGUGU